rnacentral:lncRNA from 1 species
CGCAAUUUUAAACCCAGUAACUUACUGAUGCUUGCAUUAUUACUUGGAAUAUGUACACACCAUCACUAGUUCUUCCAAAGGAAGAAUUUCUCAACCACUUCAUGCGAAAAUCAGACCAGGGAUGAAGCUGAGCCUAAGGAAGACCAGACGGAUGUGAUACUGGUGGGCAGAGGAAAGUGCUAUGAGGCAUCUGCAGCCACUCUGCUAUCUCCUCUAACUGAAGGUGUCUAAGGCAUGGACCUCUCUGCUACAUACAAAGGACGUUAUGAAGUUCUUCCGCAGCC